CCCUUAGAUGUUCUGGGCCGCACGCGCGCUACAAUGAUGCAACCAACGAGUGCUGCUCCUUAACCGAAAGGUUUGGGGAAUCUUCGAAGCUGCAUCGUGCUAGGGAUAGAUGAUUGCAAUUAUUCAUCUUGAACGAGGAAUGCCUUGUAAGCGUGAGUCAUUAACUCGCGCUGAAUACGUCCCUGCCCUUUGUACACACCGCCCGUCGCUCCUACCGAUUGGAUGAUCCGGUGAAAUGUUCGGAUCGAAAAACCUAGCGCGUACGCGCCAGGAAUUCACGAGAAGUUCAUUGAGCCUUAUCAUCUAGAGGAAGGAGAAGUCGUNACA
rnacentral:rRNA from 1 species